rnacentral:lncRNA from 1 species
ACGGGGUUUCACCAUUUACUUACCUAGACUGUCUCAAACUGCUGGGCUCAAGCGAUGCACCUGCCUUGGGGGAUUCUUAGUAAAUCUACAGGGCUGUGCAACCAUCACCACAAUCCAGUUUUGGAACACUUAAAUCACCUGGAAAAGAUCCCGCCUGUCCAUCUGCAGCCAAUCCUGGCCAUAACUCCCGAAGCCCCAGGGCAGAAUGUACCAAGAUUGCAACAUCCUGAGAUAAAGAGGAACAACCCAGGCUCUCUCCACGAUCCUCCUAGAACAGAUGUCCUGCAACACUUGUGAUCAGUUAAGUCAAGUCCUGGCCAGAGUAUAAAACCCAGAGUUGGGGGGUGGUGUGCUUUCUGAGUCCCUCAGCUGCAGUGUGAAGUGGAGCUCGUGCAGAUGAGACUUCCUCUGUCCUAUGCACCUUUCUUGAGGCUUGGGGACCAGCUCACCGUGGAUCCUAGGCUUCUGUUGGCUUUUGCCGCCUUUCUGGGAGUAAUAAAGUUGCUUUGCCUUACUUGUGUAAGUGUUCUAUCUCCCUGGACUUAUACUCGGACAGCUGGGUUUGUGCAAAAUCUCCUAGCAAAUGCAGGAAUCUUAGCAGAAAUUAACGAGGUGU